AGAGUUUGAUCAUGGCUCAGAAUGAACGCUGGCGGCGUGCUUAACACAUGCAAGUCGAACGAUGAACCUAGCUUGCUAGGGGAUUAGUGGCGCACGGGUGAGUAAUAUAUAGAUAAUGUACCUCUUAGUCUGGGAUAGCCAUUGGAAACGAUGAUUAAUACUAGAUAUUCCUUUUAACUACAAAGUUAAUUGGGAAAGUUUUUCGCUAAGAGAUCAGUCUAUAUCCCAUCAGCUUGUUGGUAGUGUAAGAGACUACCAAGGCAAUGACGGGUAGCGGGUUUGAGAGGAUGAUCCGCCACACUGGUACUGAGACACGGACCAGACUCCUACGGGAGGCAGCAGUGAGGAAUAUUGCACAAUGGAGGAAACUCUGAUGCAGCAACGCCGCGUGGAGGAUGACGCAUUUCGGUGUGUAAACUCCUUUUAUGAGUCAAGAAAAUGACG
rnacentral:rRNA from 1 species